rnacentral:tRNA from 1 species
GGAAGCGUACCCAAGCAGGGACUGCCUUGAUAAAGUAGACACGGAGUAUAAUACUCCCGCCUCCC